rnacentral:rRNA from 1 species
UACGUAGGGUGCGAGCGUUAAUCGGAAUUACUGGGCGUAAAGUGUGCGCAGGCGGCGUCGCAAGUCGAGUGUGAAAGCCCCGGGCUUAACUUGGGAAUUGCGCUCGAAACUACGGUGCUGGAGUAUGGCAGAGGAAGGUGGAAUUCUACGCGUAGCGGUGAAAUGCGUAGAGAUGUGGAGGAACACCGAUGGCGAAGGCAGCCUUCUGGGCCAAUACUGACGCUGAGGCGCGAAAGCUAGGGGAGCAAACGGG